rnacentral:snRNA from 1 species
UGAAGUGAGGGUGAUUUGGCUGCGACAUCUUGUCACCCCCAUUGAUUGUCAGGGCUGGAUUCAACUGAAGUGGCUGCGUAGGUGGGUGUCCAGGAGCUUCCCUCUCAAAGUUGCACUUUCAGAUACAGAGAACAGCCUUCCCCGGACAGAGGCAGAUCAUUCUUCGGGCAGAGCUAUAGGAGUAGCUGUGCUCUCUUGCUUGAGCUUCCAUACACACUCUCAAAGUCCAAAACUAACGAAGAACAACAGCAACAAAAGGUCCAUGAGCUUUGUGUCAUGCACUGAAGCCAGUAAGAGUACAGAC